rnacentral:rRNA from 1 species
AUUGAACGCUGGCGGCAGGCCUAACACAUGCAAGUCGAACGAGUGGCGGACGGGUGAGUAAUGUCUGGGAAACUGCCCGGGGGAGGGGGAUAACUACGGAAAACGGUCGCAAAUCCCACAAACCCUGGGAUGUCCCCAGAUGGGAUUAGCGAGUAGGUGGGGUAAAGGCUCCCCUAGGCGACGAUCCCUAGCUGGUCUGAGAGGAUGACCAGCCACACUGGAACGGAGACACGGUCCAGACUCCUACGGGAGGCAGCAGUGGGGAAUAUUGCACAAUGGGCGCAAGCCUGAUGCAGCCAUGCCGCGUGUAUGAAGAAGGCCUUCGGGUUGUAAAGCACUUUCAGCGAGGAGGCGUUACUCGCAGAAGAAGCACCGGCUAACUCCGUGCCAGCAGCCGCGGUAAUUC